rnacentral:misc_RNA from 1 species
CUUUUAAUAAUUGGGAAUUUAUUUUCCUUUACAAUAAAAUUUGCAGGAAAUUUCUUGUGCUUUGUGUUCUUGACAAGUGACAUAAAUGGAUAUGUAGGAUUAAUUUUGCACUGGAUUUUCACUUUAAUUUCUACAUAUACUGGCUUAUCAAGUAUGAGGAAUUACAUCAACAAAUACUAAGACGCUGAAUCCAUUCGAAAACGUUGUUUCAUUUCAAGCAUUUUCUGAAGAAUAUGGUAUAAAAUAUCAGGGUAUUAUAGUGUUGGAUUCUUUUUAAAAGAUUUUAAGGUAAGCAACUUUCUUUAUGUCCAUUGCUUAGUUUUUUCAAAAUUGCAAGCAUGAGAAAUCUACUGUUUUUCAAAAUUUUCUUUAAAUCCUAACCUUAUGAACCAUCAACAAGCUUCAAAUAAUGCUCCCUACAAUUAUGUAUGCAGGAAGAAACGAAUUUGCUUUGCAUC